rnacentral:lncRNA from 1 species
CAGUUACGCAGCAAUUUACUAGCCUAUGGGAAGCAUACUGACGUAGUUAAACAGUAUUGGCUGAACUCUUAUGUAAGAUGUUGAGUUAAUCCUUAUUAUAAGAAAUUGUGUCAAAGGUGAGAUUUUCUGAAAGUCUAGAGCAGGGGUCACAAACUCAAAGGCCUUUAGGAACCGGAAAGCAUUCAUCCUGCAAUUUUUUAAAACAGUGAAGUGUAGCAAGGCCAGGCCAAAUUCAGAAGAGGUGACUGAAAUGAUGCUGCCCGAUCAAAAAAUCGUUUGGUCUUCAGAAUUGAGCUCAUAGGAUCUUUUAACACGUGAGUCAGGUCAUAAACAUGCAAUUUAUAGCUGAAGAAAUGCAUGUGGCUAAUAACAAAUGAAAAAAUAUUCUCCACUAGUAAUAAAAAACAAAGGAGGAGACCCAACUGGGUAACAAACUGGCAAGGAGUUUUUGAAAGGUCACCACAUUUGGGGUGAUGGUGGUAGGCUUAACAUGCUUGUGUGCAUUGCUGGGAAUGCUUCUGGGAGGUAGGUAUUACACUGAUUUUGCAGAGGAAGAACUGAGGCUCAGAGUGCCUAUCGAACUGGUCUCAUGUCCCACAGUUUGUGACACUCAAACACAGAUAUAGAGGCUUACCAACUCCUCCACAGCCACAGUGAGCAAUUAACCCAGACAGGAAAGACAUCAUUUUGAGAUUUUUGGUAAAUUAGAGUUAGAAUGGGACCUCUGCCCAAAGCACCUGUGAAAACUCUAUAGCGUGAGGUAGGGUUUGGUGACUGGGCUGGGCCAUCACGAGAACUGCAGAGCCCUGGGCAGUUUAUCUGAGAUACCGUGUUUCAGUGUUUCUUGUUAGAUUUUCAGAAAUGGAAGAUGAGGAGCAGAGGGAAUUUAUUCAUUGUGUAAUUUCUAUAUGCCUGGCAUUUUACAUAUAGAAACUUACUCAAUCCUCUUAGCAAUGCUAGGAAACAGAAUUUUUUUUUUUUUUUUUUUUACCAUUUCGGAAUUAAGAAAACUGAAACUUGAGAAACUGUCUCUUUUCCUAGUCAACACAUUCAGUUAAAUGGCAGCAGAGUUGGGAUUCAAAUGCAGGUUUGUAGAAUCCAAAGCCCAGUCUGAAAGGAAACUAGAGAUCCUAAUCUUCCCACCCAUUUAUAUUUUAUGUUAUGUUUUCAGUUCCCAUCAUGCCUCACAGACAGUGUUUUUCUUCACAGUGUUUAUGUGUACCCUUCACAUGUCUUUCUGAAGACAUUCUAUUUAUUGCCCUAGCUCUGGGCUAAGCCUAACAACCCUUCAAUACAAUUAUUUAUUCUUUGAAGAUAGGAUUAUUUGAGGGAUUUUAAAGCAAUUAUAGUCAGAAUAAUAGAGGAAUUUUUAAACAAAUUAAAUAUCUCUACAUAUACUUGUUACUCUGCUAGCAGUUGUACAAAAUUUAAAGUAAAAAGCAAAGCAAAACCUAAAAAACCAAAAAGCUAACCCAUAGUGCCUGCUUACAAGGAGCUCAUAAAACCUAACCCAAACCCAAACCUACCUUUCUAGGUUAAAAGGAACCUAAAACCAAAAUGUAGAGAGUUGACAUGGCAAGUGUGACUUCAUGCAAAUAUCUUAUAAUCCUAGUUUUCCUGAGCUGAAAUGGCAAAUACUGAGUUCUCCCGAACACAUAGAGUCUUAGAUUGCAACUGUAUCUUUCAAGCCACUCCUAGCAUUGCUCACUGCUGUCUCCACUUGAAUUCCCCUUUCAGCUUGAGUGACAUGACAAACCUCAAACUUCCAGUUUUGUGCAAUACACCUAUAAGCAAAAUGUACUUGUAUCAGGGGUUUCUGAGGACAUUACAGUAUGUGGGAUAAUUCUUGCUUUUACUCAAGACCCUGAUGAUAAACAAGGAAAACUCCCCCAGUGGGCAAUCAAAGACAUUCUCCAUGUGGAGACACUCUGUCCUUAAGAUACCAAAAAGGCCUUUU